GCUCCACCCGAUCCCAUCCCGAACUCGGACGUGAAAAAACCCAGCGCCUAUGAUACUGUGCCUUAAGGCACGGGAAAGUCGGUCGCCGCCA
rnacentral:rRNA from 1 species